GAUGAACGCUGGCGGCGUGCCUAAUACAUGCAAGUCGAGCGAACAGACGAGGAGCUUGCUCCUCUGACGUUAGCGGCGGACGGGUGAGUAACACGUGGAUAACCUACCUAUAAGACUGGGAUAACUUCGGGAAACUGGAGCUAAUACCGGAUAAUAUACUGAACCGCAUGGUUCAAUAGUGAAAGACGGUUUUGCUGUCACUUAUAGAUGGAUCCGCGCCGCAUUAGCUAGUUGGUAAGGUAACGGCUUACCAAGGCAACGAUGCGUAGCCGACCUGAGAGGGUGAUCGGCCACACUGGAACUGAGACACGGUCCAGACUCCUAAGGGAGGCAGCAGUAGGGAAUCUUCCGCAAUGGGCGAAAGCUUGACGGAGCAACGCCGCGUGAGUGAUGAAGGUCUUCGGAUCGUAAAACUCUGUUAUUAGGGAAGAACAAAUGUGUAAGUAACUAUGCACGGCUUGACGGUACCUAAUCAGGGAGCCACGGCUAACUACGUG
rnacentral:rRNA from 1 species